rnacentral:rRNA from 1 species
AUUGAACGCUGGCGGCAUGCUUUACACAUGCAAGUCGAACGGUAACAGGCCGCAAGGUGCUGACGAGUGGCGAACGGGUGAGUAAUGCAUCGGAACGUGCCCAGUCGUGGGGGAUAACGCAGCGAAAGCUGAGCUAAUACCGCAUACGAUCUGUGGAUGAAAGCGGGGGACCGUAAGGCCUCGCGCGAUUGGAGCGGCCGAUGUCAGAUUAGGUAGUUGGUGGGGUAAAGGCCUACCAAGCCGACGAUCUGUAGCUGGUCUGAGAGGACGACCAGCCACACUGGGACUGAGACACGGCCCAGACUCCUACGGGAGGCAGCAGUGGGGAAUUUUGGACAAUGGGCGCAAGCCUGAUCCAGCAAUGCCGCGUGCAGGAAGAAGGCCUUCGGGUUGUAAACUGCUUUUGUACGGAACGAAACGGUCUGGGUUAAUACCCUGGGCUAAUGACGGUACCGUAAGAAUAAGCACCGGCUAACUACGUGCCAGCCGCCGCAGUAAUAC